CCUACGGGAGGCAGCAGUGGGGAAUAUUGGGCAAUGGGCGCAAGCCUGACCCAGCAACGCCGCGUGAAGGAAGAAGGCUUUCGGGUUGUAAACUUCUUUUGUCAGGGCCGAAGCAAGUGACGGUACCUGACGAAUAAGCCACGGCUAACUACGUGCCAGCAGCCGCGGUAAUACGUAGGGGGCAAGCGUUAUCCGGAUUUACUGGGUGUAAAGGGCGUGUAGGCGGGACGGAAAGUCAGAUGUGAAAACCACGGGCUCAACCUGUGGCCUGCAUUUGAAACUGUAGUGCUUGAGUGCUGGAGAGGCAGACGGAAUUCCUGGUGUAGCGGUGAAAUGCGUAGAUAUUAGGAGGAACACCAGUGGCGAAAGCGGUCUGCUGGACAGCAACUGACGCUGAGGCGCGAAAGCGUGGGGAGCAAACAGGAUUAGAUACCCUUGUAGUC
rnacentral:rRNA from 1 species